GAUGAACGCUGGCGGCGUGCAUAACACAUUCAAGUCGAACGGAGUUAACGGAGAGCUUGCUUGAAGUUAACUUAGUGGCGGACGGGUGAGUAACGCGUGAGCAACCUGCCUUCGUGAGGGGGAUAACGACCGGAAACAGUCGCUAAUACCGCAUGAUGCAACGGAAUCGCAUGAUUUUGUUGCCAAAGAUUUAUCGCACAAAGAUGGGCUCGCGUCUGAUUAGAUAGUUGGUGAGGCAACGGCUUACCAAGUCGACGAUCAGUAGCCGGACUGGGAGGUUGAACGGCCACAUUGGAACUGAGAAACGGUCCAGACUCCUACGGGAGGCAGCAGUGGGGAAUAUUGGGCAAUGGGCGCAAGCCUGACCCAGCGACGCCGCGUGAGGGAAGACGGUCUUCGGAUUGUAAACCUUUGUUGAUGGGGAAGAAACAUGACGGUACCCAUCGAGGAAGCCACGGCUAACUACGUGCCAGCCGCCGCGGUAAAAC
rnacentral:rRNA from 1 species